GAUGAACGCUGGCGGCGUGCCUAAUACAUGCAAGUCGAGCGAACGGACGAGAAGCUUGCUUCUCUGAUGUUAGCGGCGGACGGGUGAGUAACACGUGGAUAACCUACCUAUAAGACUGGGAUAACUUCGGGAAACCGGAGCUAAUACCGGAUAAUAUUUUGAACCGCAUGGUUCAAAAGUGAAAGACGGUCUUGCUGUCACUUAUAGAUGGAUCCGCGCUGCAUUAGCUAGUUGGUAAGGUAACGGCUUACCAAGGCAACGAUGCAUAGCCGACCUGAGAGGGUGAUCGGCCACACUGGAACUGAGACACGGUCCAGACUCCUACGGGAGGCAGCAGUAGGGAAUCUUCCGCAAUGGGCGAAAGCCUGACGGAGCAACGCCGCGUGAGUGAUGAAGGUCUUCGGAUCGUAAAACUCUGUUAUUAGGGAAGAACAUAUGUGUAAGUAACUGUGCACAUCUUGACGGGACCUAAUCAGAAAACCACGGCUAACUACGU
rnacentral:rRNA from 1 species